CAGUGGGGAAUAUUGCACAAUGGGCGCAAGCCUGAUGCAGCCAUGCCGCGUGUGUGAAGAAGGCUUUCGGGUUGUAAAGCACUUUCAGCGAGGAGGAAGGCUAAGUAGUUAAUACCUGCUUAGAUUGACGUUACUCGCAGAAGAAGCACCGGCUAACUCCGUGCCAGCAGCCGCGGUAAUACGGAGGGUGCAAGCGUUAAUCGGAAUUACUGGGCGUAAAGCGCGCGUAGGCGGCUUGUUAAGCUAGAUGUGAAAGCCCCGGGCUCAACCUGGGAACUGCAUUUAGAACUGACUCGCUAGAGUACAGUAGAGGGUGGUGGAAUUUCCAGUGUAGCGGUGAAAUGCGUAGAGAUUGGAAGGAACAUCAGUGGCGAAGGCGGCCACCUGGACUGAUACUGAC
rnacentral:rRNA from 1 species